AACAUCAACUGGGUGUACUCUCAUUGGCUUCUGUUACCUGGAAUCAUAUCUUAACCCUAAACUGUCAGCUGCAAAUUGAAAUGCUCAUCUCUGACUAUAAUUUUGGCUGAAAGGGGAAUGAAAGUGAGGUUGAGCUACUGGAGGGUAGCAAACUGAAAAUACUGCCCCUCGGAUAUGUUAGAAACCAUUUACAUAGCUAAUUAGAUAAAAUUUUGAAAAUGCUAAGAAUUAUAAGGCCAUAUCACCUUUCUUUUCUGAGAAUAAAUAUCCUCAAGAUGUUUGACUAUGUUUAUGUGUCAGUAAAUUUUACCCUAGAGAAGAAGGAAAUGACUAAAUAACAGUGAAGAAAGAUCUCCUCUCCUCUCUUAUAUGUUAAAGAAAUAGGAAUUCUCAGACCUGAAGGGGAAAAAAAGCAAACUAGCGAGCUAUUAGAAGUGAUUUCCUGAGAAGCAACUUUUAAGAUAUAUAAUAACGUUGUGACUGAUUCAGACCAAUAUUCUGCAACCUGUGUCUAUAAUACUGUAUUGAUUUUCAAUACACACAACCAAGACCAAGAACCAUAUCAAGACACUCAAGUACCUUCUGAAUCAUCUUGGAUUGAUUACAUAGGAACUUCCUUGCAAAAGGCUCUACCUCCUUCAUGCUCAAUGACUCUUCUCCCUUCUUGAAGACUCAUUGCCUCCGAGGUGGAUAUUUGAAUAUUUGAACCAGGAAAUGAGUCCAGCUGAUAAAUAUUUUAUGAGGAUUAAGUGAAAUAAUGAAUAAAAAGCAAUCAGCACCAUGCCUAGCUGUGGAAGUCGGGAUAAUGGUCCCAAAAGAUAUCUAGGUCCUGAUCUCUGAAAUCUGUGAAUGUUACCUUACUGGGCCUUUGGAUUUGGACUGAAAUAGACUACCACUUUCCUGGGUCUCCAGCUUCUAGAUGGCUGAUUAUGGGACUUCUCAACCUCCCUAAUCAGGCUUGAAUUUCAAUUUGCUGAGCAAACUUUCUCUAUUUGGACAUGUUUUCUUCUCUCCUGGCUCAGCUCCAUUUCUACUGAUGCCUAAAGGAUUUGUGUGAGUUGGCUCACAUUUACAAAGCACCCAGUGUGAAAUGGCAUUUUACUCCCUGUGCAUUCAUUUUUUUUUCUAUUCUUUUCCUUUGUGUUAGUUAGGAAUUGACAGGAGCUUCACACUGAGAUGCAGGUCACCAAAAACAACUAUCAUGGAAGAAAAACAUACUUUAUUCUAUUAAAAAGUAAAUUAUAGUAGAAACUAGUAGUCUGCU